UACGUAGGGGCAAGCGUUAUCCGGAUUUACUGGGUGUAAAGGGAGCGUAGACGGAAGGUCAAGUCAGGUGUGAAAGGCAUGGGCUCAACCCGUGGACUGCACUUGAAACUGGUCAUCUUGAGUGUCGGAGGGGCAGGCGGAAUUCCUGGUGUAGCGGUGAAAUGCGUAGAUAUCAGGAAGAACACCGGUGGCGAAGGCGGCCUGCUGGACGAUCACUGACGUUGAGGCUCGAAGGCGUGGGGAGCAAACAGGAUUAGAUACCCUGGUA
rnacentral:rRNA from 1 species